AAUCCGGAAAGUUAGUGUUGCUUUUCUAUAAAUAUGGAAAUGUGCUAAUCAUCACCUCAUCUGCUGGAGACCGCUAAUAAAUCAGAAUGUCAUUUACAUAUUAACCUACAAAGAACAAAAAUUUCUUCUUCCCCUCGGUCUCAUUCCGUUUCUUUCUAGGUACCUUUCUCUCUCCCUUUUCUCUUUCCUCUUUGUCACUGUCUUUUUCUCUCUCUAUGUAUCUUUGAUCUGUAUGCUAUUAAUUUAUAUUCUAUUAAGUGGCUGUUUCUAAGAGACAUCCUGUGUGGUGAACAUUCAUGUCUGCAAAGGACUGAGCUUGGCAUGGAAUGAUUUAAGUGAACAUACUCACUGGUUUGCUCUGGGGGAAUCUUUUGUCCUUGGGUUUGCUCAGAUCCUCUCUGGGUUCGUCCCAGAGGAUGCACGAGGCUGUUUUCUUCUAAUGUGCCCUUUAGAUCACAUGCUUCUCCCCCAAAGACAGCAUGAAACCAUGCAUCAAAAAUCAAGGGAAGUCUUGGAUGUUAGGGAGGUGAUGUUAGACUUCAAUGAGAUCCUAACAUUUCCUCAGGGGCUGUGACUGACAGCUUUCUACCUUCCGCAGGUAUCAGUACGGUUUGGGGCUUAAAUUUCUAGAUUUUUGAACAUAAUCAGAGGUCAGAGUAGUUUAUGUAUUGGAAAGUUGAUCCCACUUGCCCAAGCCUCUCGGAGGUAAUACCGAAUACCACACACCCCUCCCUGCUCUGAGAUCUUCCUGCCUUCCAGGAUUCCCCUAGUAGACCUGCCUCUCUGAUGAAUGCACACUCCCUAGAGUACCUCUGUACUCCG
rnacentral:lncRNA from 1 species